AAAAAAAAUGCAAAAACCUUAUCCCUUCCAUUUAUUUUUUUUUUCGCAUUUCUCUCGAUUUGCUCUCAAACCCCAUCCAUGGUGGAGCGACACAGGCAUGUCUGAUUCCUCUAUAAUAGGGCUCUGGUCCGCAAUACGGAGACCCAAACGAGCAGAACUAAAACAGUUCGUCCAAAAAUCCCCCCUUUGCAGGUAAAAACGAAGCCAUGCCAUUUCUCCUUUUGUUCGUUCAAAUUUUCCUCGCAGAUUGAUGCAUCCGUAGCCGUCCAUAACCCAACAACAACACACCGCCGUGAGUACCCCGCCGUGGUGGAAAAUCGGAAAAACGGAAACCCAAAGUGGGAAGAGCCCUAAUGGUUUCAAAUCCAAUACAACAACACAAGAACACACCCGGAGUCAGCUCAGCUCAACCAAGGAUCUGCAAAUGUUGAGCGUACAACCGAGAGACAACAACUAUGAGCUUCCGGUCUAGUGGUUCCUGAAGCAAAAUCAACAGCAACUGUCGCGGCCUCUGUAUGUCAUAUAGGGGUAUACGGAUCCAUGAUAGAGCCAAGGACACAGAAGUAAACACACAAGAGCAACGGAGGAAAACAGCACAGGCCGCAUGACCCAGAUCGAUGCAUCUGGGAGGUAAAAUUCGAAUCCCUGCAAGUGUAGUUGUUGUAGAUCUGGUAAUAAUAUAUGUACUCAGUUCUGUGGUGUAUGGAUCUGUGAUUUAAUUGUGCUUCCUCCAUGCAUCGCAAAACUGAGCUGCAGAAAUUAACUGCUCUAAAUUCUGUUUAUGUGCUGGAUCUGCAACAAUCACCCCCAAACUUGCAUCUGUGAAUGGCUUUUUAUGU